GACUGCUCCUUUGUGGAGUUUACUGUGAGCCUUCAGCAUUGCUUUCAUGGUGCAAGGUGUGACCAUGCCUCCAUCCCAGUCAGGAAGUUCCUGAAGCUGCCAGGCAAGGGAUCAGAAGAGCUCCUGUGCAUCCAGAGCAGACACUGUGUUGUCUCCCAUGGCAGCACUUGCCCAUGGAAAGGCCAGAGGCGGGGAUCUGCCACAAGAAACUCUUGGGCAGCGUGAGAGCCUAAAAUAGAGCAGCAGUCCAGAAGGAUGGUGUGUGUGCUCCUUGUUUGAGCCAGGAUAAAAAUGUCUAAAUGUGUUUUUCCUCUUGCCAAGCGUUCACGAUGAUGGUGGAGCAGUGUUAUGCCAUGAGGCCAGCGUCAAGCAAGCUGUGUGGGCAGAACAGACCUAGUGGACAUAGUUUCUACGGAUGCAGGCAUCUAUUUGAGCAAGCUUUCAGGCACAACAAACUGUCACAUAAGAUUUCCAUGAUGAGCGGGCAUGAAAUUCAAAUUAUGGGCAACUACUGCUUUCCACUCUGCUGACAAUUUAUUGGGAAUCACACUGAGUCUGUGCUGCAGGCCACUGCUUUAGCUUAACAUGAUCUGACAGACAGUGCCCAGCGCCGUGCAUCAUAACACAAAGCAUCUCACAGCACAUCUGAAGAGUGGAAAGGAAGGGGUGAUCCUGGGGAUAGAAUGCUUCUUAAAUGUUUUUCAGGGCAAGAAGGGUCUUUGUGCUCUAAAAUGUUGGAUGGAGGUAUCUAGCUCUGAUUGCUUUCCAAAUCCUCAGGAAAUAAGCAAUGUGCUUCCAUUUUAAAACUGUUGUAAUGGCUACCUGGCAUGUUUUGUUCCUGUCCACCCUCCACAAUAGGAGAUGCAUGGGACAGGAGGUAACUGAGUCCCUGCUUGCACUGUGGGCAACCCAUGGGCACUUAGUGCAAAGGGGCCAACCUCUCGUGCAUUGCACGUUGUGCACACUGCACCAACAGUGAUUCCCCAUCUGACUUCAUGUGGUGUUCAAGCCAAAACAUGCCUCCAGUCCUUCCCUCUGUAAUACGAAUUGCACUUAAACCCUUCUCCCUAAUUUAACUGGAAAACAAUAUAAUUCUCCACUUUCUCCACAGAUGAUCAAAACUGGGAGUGCUGUAUCAGAAAAAAAAA